rnacentral:lncRNA from 1 species
UAACGUUGGCCACUUGCCUGCAGGAGGAACCGUGAAGACUGAGGGCGGUGGCAGUGAGGCCCCUCCGUGUCCAGGCCCCCCCGCUGGGGAGGAGCCAGCCAUCCCUGAGGCUGCGCCUGACGCUGGCGCCCCUACUUCAGCCAGUGGCCUCAGUGGCCACACCACCCUGUCAGGGGGUGGUGACCAAAGGGAGCCCCAGACCUUGGACAGCCAGAUCCAGGAGACAAAUUGAGACCUACAGGCUGACGUUCCGGGCAAAUGCCAGGGCCCGCACCGACCAUGGGGCUGACAUUGUCUCCCGGCCUCCCCACUUCCCUGGUGGCCCAAGCUUGGGGUCUCGGGCCCUGGGCUCCUUUUCCCGGGCUGUCUACUAGACUUGUAAGCUCUUGGGUGCUGGGCAGCCCCUUUAGGCCUCCUUCCCUCCUGUCUCGCUUGCUCAAGGCAGCCGCAGCCCUGCUGCCUUCACACCUCCUUCCACCCUUUCUGGGCCCAGCUCCAACUUCACUAUCGCACCCUUCACUGCUCUAUGGAGAAAGGUGGGAGGGGGUGGGAGUCUAAUGGGAUCUCUGUGGGAUCUAGGGGUGAGGGGCUGGAUUCCAGCCUUGGCCGUUUGGUUUUUUUGGACCAAACCCAAAAGAAACUGACAAACCCUCCCUCUCUUCCCUGGCUCACCCUCGAGAGACUAGUAAAGGUGAACUCCGAGUGGAGACCAGCACCGACCGAACCCCCUGGAACCCAAACUACUGCCUCUCCUUGACCCCAUGCUAG